GGCACUCAAAAAGGGCUGCUAAGCGGCAGCCGCAUGGCGAUGAUAAGGACGGGGAUGGAGAGGAUGACGAUGGUGGCGAAAGAUUCCUCUUAGUAAAACUGCAGAGAAGAAAGGUGCGCAUGAAGGCAGUAUCCAAAGGGGUAGAUGCCACAUCUUCUGCAGCAGCCGCUGAGGGGGGUGAGGGUAAUGAAGAAGAUAAUGCAGAACGACAGUCACAAGCUGGUAGGAUAAGGGCAUCUCCUGGGAGGUUGGUGAAGUUGAACAAUAAGUUGAGCCCAUUACAAAAGU